UGCAUAUCAAAAAUAAGUGAAGGUAUUGGAGAGAAUGAACAUGCACAGCUUCCGGAAGACUAUUUGCACCCUAGGAAAGAGUAAGACCACAGGCCCUGGUAUAAGUGUGUACCAUCAAGGUCAGUAUGCCUAGGGCUAAGCAAGUGAGCUGAAAUUAAUCAAGAGAGGAGGUGAGUGGGUACCAGGAUGGAGUGCCUACCAUCAGUUAGCACUCCUUAUGAGAGUAGGAGACACCGGGGAGGAUUUGCCUGGGAGCAAUGGGGUCUGCUUUGCCAUUCACAGGACCCACCUUGCCUGCAGCUUUGAUAAAAGAUGCUAAGAGGCCAAGAAUUCAAGUGUAGGGGUUACGGAAAUGAGCCUUGAUAGUUUUUAUGGGAGGUGUCAGGGACAGCAGAACAGUGGGUCAGAAGUUGAGUAUACUUUGAGUCCAGCAUUGAAAUGUUUGCUGAAAGAUUGGGUAUAUGUAAGGAAGAGAGGGAACUAGAGGUAACUGGGAAUUCAUGCCUAGACAGGUUGCAAGGUAGAAUAUAUAGAAAGCAAAUGAUAUGUCCCAGUGUGAUAUUUACUGAUGGCUCAUGAUAAGGUGUAGAAUAAUUGAUUUCAUUGGCUUUAGUGGGAUUCUGAAGGUUUUAAAUGUCAGAGACUCUGCUUUGUCUCAUGUACUUUCUCCUAAUUGAAGUUUCUCUUCUCUCUCCCAGUGGAGAAACAUCUAUUAUUUUCUGAAGCAUUUAUUCUUUGCUGUGGUGGAUUAUAGCUGCCUCCUCGUUAUGUUGUUUAAUUGGACUAUUGGCUACAAUUAUAAACCUAUUGAGUCAUAUACAUUUACUUGUCUGGAGAAACGAGGCUUUAAUGUUGUAAUGUAACAGAGUAGAAUGGAUUGUAUUCUCCACAUUUAGUAAUUUAUUCUUAUCACUAACGUAUUAUGGAGAAAAUACGUUUUCUUUAAAAAAUAAUAGUCAUUUGUUGCAUUGAGAAAACAUGCUGAAGGAUGAUGGGACUGUAGUCUGGUGAAAAUUUAAAAUUUUUAAAAGCAGGGAAGGGUGUGACUGGUCAUUACAGGGCCGUCAGUAAUUAAUCAGGCACAUUCUUUUUUUUUCUUUUUUCUUUUUUUAUUAUGUAUUUUCCUCAAUUACAUUUCCAAUGCUAUCCCAAAAGUCCCCCACACCCUCACCCCCNNNNNNNNNNNNUGCCUGUCCAAUGGGCCUCUCUUUCCAGUGAUGGCCGACUAGGCCAUCUUUUGAUACAUAUGCAGCUAGAGUCAAGAGCUCCGGGGUACUGGUUAGUAACAAUUCAAUCGGGCACAUUCUUACUCUUCAGGGCUAAGGAGGAGGCACUGAAGUGGGAGUCACUGUUCUGAACAGUCUAAAGUUUCAGUGACUUUAGAAUUAUAAUGGUGACUGGGAUCUUAUUUCUGAAAUUUUGUGGUUUUAGAAGAUUAAGUGUUUCGUUUAAUACACUGAAUUGUUAAUCAUCCAUGAUUAUAAGAGUAUGAUAAUGCAAAUUGACUUCUGAACUCCAUGGUAUUAACACUGAUGUCCAGUGGAGAUCAAGUCUUUAAUCAUUGCUAUGACAAAAUAGUGUAUGUCACCAGAGACACUGGGAAAUAAAAUUAAGGUAAGACAGUUACAUAACAUUAAUGGUGGUAGAUUCUCCAGACAAGAAACAACAAAUUAGAGGUUAAAUGGAUGGAUGAAUGCUGCAGAAGCACAUAAGGACCUGAGUUUUGUCCCUGAGCCCCUACAUAAAAAUCCACACACAGUGAUGCACCCUGCAAGCCAAGCCCUAGAGAAGUGGGGAGAGGGGAAAUUCUAGAGCUUGCUCCAUACCUAGUCUUGUUACAUAGGGAAGGUCCAGGUUCAAUGAAAGACUGUGCCCAAAAAAAUACAGUCAUUGAGGAAGACAUCUGACAUUGACCUCUGGCCUCCACACCUCCAUGCACAUCUGCACAUUUACAUGUACACACAUACACAUGCAUGUGCCACUUAUGUAUGUCCUCAAGGUAGAAAAUAACAACAUUUUAUAUGAUAAUAUAAGCUUUUCUGAUUAUGCAAUAAAAUAGUUUAGCCAAAUAAACACAACAAAUUAGAUUAAUUCAUUGAGUAAUUAUGAGACAACAUAUACUAAUUCUAUACAUAGUAUCAUUGAGAGCAGCUCAUUCUACUGCAUUUUGGCAUACUCAGAUCUUGAACCUUCUUCUCUGGUUCCUCCUUAUGUUUCCCAUCUCUGCCCACCUCUCCUGACUUCCCCAGGCCUCUGCCCACCUUUCCUGACUUCUCUAGGCCUCUAGUCUCCUAUCAUCAUUUUACAUUCUUGCAACCCGAUUUUCACAUAAAACUCCUCUGUAAAAUCCACCUGUAACUUUUCACCAGCUCUGGGGCAUUCUUUUUUCUAUCCUCAUGUCAGUCUUUGACCCAGGCAGUCACCGCUCUCAAGGAACAAGUGUCCAUGAAGAAGCAGCCUGAGCUGUUAGGCAUCUGCCUUUGCUCAAGACAUCCUCUGCCUAACUCUCUGUGAUCAGCACUCUUCUCUGGUGAACACAUCAGCGCCAUCUGCCUUCUGUCUGCCUGGAGAGACUUGCCACAGUAGAGCUUCCUCAGCCUCACAUGAACCGCUGCAAAGGAUGUGCGCUCCUUUUGCUGAAGCCGUCAAAUAAAAAAGCUUUUUCAUGAAAAGCUAAAUAGAAUACAUGAAGAUUUUCACGACAGUAGGCUUCCGGAUUAAUGAAAUAUUCAUUUAAAUUGGACUUGGAGGAUAUGUCACUUCUUUUCUUUGAUUAAAAUAUUUAGAGCAUAACACAAAAUCACUGUGUCUUGAAAAAGCCAAACUUCAAGGAAAUUCAGCUGAUGGGGCAUCUUGUUUUCAGUGAGGUUGUUAAAGAUGAUUUUUCCAACCAGGGUCAGGUGCUUGGAACCGUUAGGUGAAUGCUAGGCAUGGUGGGAGUCCUCUUGUGUGCUUAAGAGUUUAAGAGAUCGAACCCAAUAGAUAGUAAGCUUCUUUCAAAGAGAAUGCUAAUUUUAAUGUUUUUAUGACUUAAAUAGAUUGUAAUAAGUUAUUACUUCCUAAUUUAGAUGUUGGUAUGACGACUGGGCAGACGCAUGUUCUUGUUCCACAUCAACAUUGUAUGACUGCAGAGUGUAGCCUGAGUGCUUAGGAAAGGGUACUUUUACGAUAUUGGAAGACUGGACAUCGUGACAUUAGGAGGAGGGAGGGGGUUACUGGGCUGUUCUAAAAUUAGCAAUGUGAAGAGCUGGUUCAAACUUAAUUGCCUAGGUGUGGAAGAAAUAUACUUGUAUUGUGCUUAAUAAUGUGAAUUAUCUGUAUCAUUAAAUAACAGGAAACCCGUUUGAGUUUCUUCUUCCUGUCCAAAUAAAUAAAUAAAUAAAUAAAUAAAUAUAAUUAACACAGUGAAAAA
ensembl:processed_transcript B230216N24Rik RIKEN cDNA B230216N24 gene